GAUGAACGCUAGCGGCAGGCUUAACACAUGCAAGUCGAGGGGUAGAGGCUUUCGGGCCCUGAGACCGGCGCACGGGUGCGUAACGCGUAUGCAAUCUGCCUUGUACUGGGGGAUAGCCCAGAGAAAUUUGGAUUAAUACCCCAUAGUAUUUUCGGUUGGCAUCAACUGAUUAUUAAAGUUUUUCGGUACAAGAUGAGCAUGCGUCCCAUUAGCUAGUUGGUAUGGUAACGGCAUACCAAGGCUACGAUGGGUAGGGGUCCUGAGAGGGAGAUCCCCCACACUGGUACUGAGACACGGACCAGACUCCUACGGGAGGCAGCAGUGAGGAAUAUUGGUCAAUGGUCGCAAGACUGAACCAGCCAUGCCGCGUGCAGGAUGAAGCAUCUAUGGUGUGUAAACUGCUUUUGUACGGGAAGAAACACUGCUACGUGUAGCAGCUUGACGGUACCGUAAGAAUAAGAAUCGGCUAACUCCGUGCCAGCCGCCGCGGUAACAC
rnacentral:rRNA from 1 species